rnacentral:rRNA from 1 species
GAUGAACGCUAGCUACAGGCUUAACACAUGCAAGUCGAGGGGCAGCAUGGUCUUAGCUUGCUAAGGCCGAUGGCGACCGGCGCACGGGUGAGUAACACGUAUCCAACCUGCCGUCUACUCUUGGACAGCCUUCUGAAAGGAAGAUUAAUACAAGAUGGCAUCAUGAGUCCGCAUGUUCACAUGAUUAAAGGUAUUCCGGUAGACGAUGGGGAUGCGUUCCAUUAGAUAGUAGGCGGGGUAACGGCCCACCUAGUCUUCGAUGGAUAGGGGUUCUGAGAGGAAGGUCCCCCACAUUGGAACUGAGACACGGUCCAAACUCCUACGGGAGGCAGCAGUGAGGAAUAUUGGUCAAUGGGCGAGAGCCUGAACCAGCCAAGUAGCGUGAAGGAUGACUGCCCUAUGGGUUGUAAACUUCUUUUAUAAAGGAAUAAAGUCGGGUAUGGAUACCCGUUUGCAUGUACUUUAUGAAUAAGGAUCGGCUAACUCCGUGCCAGCAGCCGCGGUAAUACGGAGGAUCCGAGCGUUAUCCGGAUUUAUUGGGUUUAAAGGGAGCGUAGAUGGAUGUUUAAGUCAGUUGUGAAAGUUUGCGGCUCAACCGUAAAAUUGCAGUUGAUACUGGAUAUCUUGAGUGCAGUUGAGGCAGGCGGAAUUCGUGGUGUAGCGGUGAAAUGCUUAGAUAUCACGAAGAACUCCGAUUGCGAAGGCAGCCUGCUAAGCUGCAACUGACAUUGAGGCUCGAAAGUGUGGGUAUCAAACAGGAUUAGAUACCCUGGUAGUCCACACGGUAAACGAUGAAUACUCGCUGUUUGCGAUAUACUGCAAGCGGCCAAGCGAAAGCGUUAAGUAUUCCACCUGGGGAGUACGCCGGCAACGGUGAAACUCAAAGGAAUUGACGGGGGCCCGCACAAGCGGAGGAACAUGUGGUUUAAUUCGAUGAUACGCGAGGAACCUUACCCGGGCUUAAAUUGCAGAUGAAUUACGGUGAAAGCCGUAAGCCGCAAGGCAUCUGUGAAGGUGCUGCAUGGUUGUCGUCAGCUCGUGCUGUGAGGUGUCGGCUUAAGUGCCAUAACGAGCGCAACCCUUGUUGUCAGUUACUAACAGGUUCCGCUGAGGACUCUGACAAGACUGCCAUCGUAAGAUGUGAGGAAGGUGGGGAUGACGUCAAAUCAGCACGGCCCUUACGUCCGGGGCUACACACGUGUUACAAUGGGGGGUACAGAGGGCCGCUACCACGCGAGUGGAUGCCAAUCCCCAAAACCUCUCUCAGUUCGGACUGGAGUCUGCAACCCGACUCCACGAAGCUGGAUUCGCUAGUAAUCGCGCAUCAGCCACGGCGCGGUGAAUACGUUCCCGGGCCU